GAUGAACGCUAGCUACAGGCUUAACACAUGCAAGUCGAGGGGUAACGAGAGGAAAGCUUGCUUUCCUUGUCGACGACCGGCGCACGGGUGAGUAACGCGUAUCCAACCUGCCCCCAACUAGGGAAUAACCUUGCGAAAGUAAGACUAAUACCCUAUAAUUUCCUCAGAUGUCAUCUGACGAGGAAUAAAGAUUUAUCGGUUGUGGAUGGGGAUGCGUCUGAUUAGCUUGUUGGCGGGGUAACGGCCCACCAAGGCAACGAUCAGUAGGGGUUCUGAGAGGAAGGUCCCCCACAUUGGAACUGAGACACGGUCCAAACUCCUACGGGAGGCAGCAGUGAGGAAUAUUGGUCAAUGGGCGGAAGCCUGAACCAGCCAAGUAGCGUGCAGGAUGACGGCCCUAUGGGUUGUAAACUGCUUUUAUACAGGAAUAAAGUUAGCCACGUGUGGUUAUUUGUAGGUACUGUAUGAAUAAGGACCGGCUAAUUCCGUGCCAGCAGCCGCGGUAACAC
rnacentral:rRNA from 1 species